GUAAAAUGUAAUUCUAAUCUUUCCUGUCUGGUAAACGUAUUUUUUCUCAGUUGCAGUUCAUUUCUAUCAAAGCUAUCUGUUUGGGUAUAACUAAUUUGGCGAGUUUCUUGGAAGGUCUAAUUAUUGGCGGUUUGGCAAACAUUUCAAACACAAAAGAGAGUGUUAGCCCGCUGACCACCAGGGCUAUUGCAAAAGCUUCAGCGGUAGCUUUAGGGGGGCAUGCUAUGAUUUUCGGCGUACAGCUGGCAAGGGACGUCCAUAAAUGAUGAUCAUCAAGAACUUAGAGAAUGCUAUGAUUGGAUUUGCUAUUGUUAUCAUCACUGUCCGAAUUGAAA